rnacentral:rRNA from 1 species
UACGAAGGGGGCUAGCGUUGCUCGGAAUCACUGGGCGUAAGCGCACGUAGGCGGUCUUUUAAGUCAGGGGUGAAAUCCUGGAGCUCAACUCCAGAACUGCCUUUGAUACUGAGAGGCUCGAGUCCGGGAGAGGUGAGUGGAACUGCGAGUGUAGAGGUGAAAUUCGUAGAUAUUCGCAAGAACACCAGUGGCGAAGGCGACUCACUGGCCCGGUACUGACGCUGAGGUGCGAAAGCGUGGGAG